UGGCUGAUUGCUUUUAUCUGGAGACAGUGAUGGACUCAGAGAGAGAAGUGAGGAAGAUAGUCUCUGAAAAGGCUAUUGAUCCUGGUUAGAGGAGAGUGACUGGUGGCU